rnacentral:rRNA from 1 species
CCUACGGGAGGCAGCAGUAGGGAAUUUUCGGCAAUGGAGGAAACUCUGACCGAGCAACGCCGCGUGAACGAAGAAGUUCUUCGGAAUGUAAAGUUCUUUUAUCAGGGAAGAAAAAAAUGACGGUACCUGAUGAGUAAGCCCCGGCUAACUAUGUGCCAGCAGCCGCGGUAAU